rnacentral:snoRNA from 1 species
AUGUUAAGGCUGGGGCAUUUUCUGAAAAAAAAUUCUUGAACCUCUCCCAUGCCUCAGAAUAGCUCUCGAGAUCUUUUUGCUUGAAGGUGUGGAUGUCAUUCCUAAUUU